CGUACGCUGGCGGCACGCCUAACACAUGCAAGUCGAACGCAGUAGCAAUACUGAGUGGCGGACGGGUGAGUAACGCGUGAGAAUCUGCCCUCAGGAGGGGGAUAACGGCUGGAAACGGCCGCUAAUACCCCAUAUGCCGCGAGGUGAAAUGAAUUUCGCCUGAGGAUGAGCUCGCGUCUGAUUAGCUAGUUGGUGGGGUAAAGGCCUACCAAGGCAUCGAUCAGUAGCUGGUCUGAGAGGAUGACCAGCCACACUGGAACUGAGACACGGUCCAGACUCCUACGGGAGGCAGCAGUGGGGAAUAUUGCACAAUGGGCGCAAGCCUGAUGCAGCCAUGCCGCGUGUGUGAAGAAGG
rnacentral:rRNA from 1 species